rnacentral:rRNA from 3 species
UACGGAGGGUGCGAGCGUUGUCCGGAAUCACUGGGCGUAAAGGGCGCGUAGGCGGCUCAUGAAGGCUGUGGUGAAAGUCCGGGGCUCAACCUCGGAUCGGCCGUGGCGACUCGUGGGCUGGAGCACUGUAGAGGCGGGUGGAAUUCCGGGUGUAGCGGUGGAAUGCGUAGAGAUCCGGAAGAACACCAGUGGCGAAGGCGGCCCGCUGGGCAGUGGCUGACGCUGAAGCGCGACAGCGUGGGGAGCAAACAGG